rnacentral:rRNA from 1 species
CCUACGGGGGGCAGCAGUGAGGAAUAUUGGUCAAUGGACGGAAGUCUGAACCAGCCAUGCCGCGUGCAGGAAGACGGCUCUAUGAGUUGUAAACUGCUUUUGUACAAGGGUAAACCUGAAUACGUGUAUUCAGCUGAAAGUACUGUACGAAUAAGGAUCGGCGAACUCCGUGCCAGCAGCCGCGGUAAUACGGAGGAUCCAAGCGUUAUCCGGAUUUAUUGGGUUUAAAGGGUGCGUAGGCGGAUUGAUAAGUUAGCGGUGAAAGGUCCGAGCUUAACUCGGGAACUGCCUCUAAUACUGUUGAUCUAGAGAGUAGAUGCGGUAGGCGGAAUGUAUGGUGUAGCGGUGAAAUGCUUAGAGAUCAUACAGAACACCGAUUGCGAAGGCAGCUUACCAAUCUAUAUCUGACGUUGAGGCACGAAAGCGUGGGGAGCAAACAGGAUUAGAUACCCCAGUAGUC